CCUACGGGAGGCUGCAGUGGGGAAUCUUGGACAAUGGGCGCAAGCCUGAUCCAGCUAUUCCGCGUGUGGGAUGACGGCCCUCGGGUUGUAAACCACUUUUGCCGGGGAGCAACGGGGUCCUUGCGAGGGCCCGAUGAGAGUACCCGGAGAAACAGCAUCGGCUAACUCCGUGCCAGCAGCCGCGGUAAUACGGAGGAUGCGAGUGUUAUCCGGAUUUAGUGGGUUAAAGGGGUGCGUAGGCGGGCUGUUAAGUCAGCGGUCAAAUGUCGGGGCUCAACCCCGGCCUGCCGUUGAAACUGGCGGCCUCGAGUGGGCGAGAAGUAUGCGGAAUGCGUGGUGUAGCGGUGAAAUGCAUAGAUAUCACGCAGAACUCCGAUUGCGAAGGCAGCAUACCGGCGCCCGACUGACGCUGAGGCACGAAAGCGUGGGUAUCGAACAGGAUUAGAUACCCGGGUAGUC
rnacentral:rRNA from 1 species